rnacentral:rRNA from 1 species
UACGUAGGGGGCAAGCGUUGUCCGGAUUUAUUGGGCGUAAAGAGCGUGUAGGCGGCUAGGUAGGUCCGUUGUGAAAACUCGAGGCUCAACCUCGAGACGUCGAUGGAAACCAUCUAGCUAGAGUCCGGGAGAGGAGAGUGGAAUUCCUGGUGUAGCGGUGAAAUGCGCAGAUAUCAGGAAGAACACCCGUGGCGAAGGCGGCUCUCUGGUACGUGACUGACGCUGAGACGCGAAAGCGUGGGGAGCGAACAGG